ensembl:lncRNA
GGGGAUUGCAAAUUGAAAAUGUGCGAUUUUCGGGUUAAAUGGGGAUUUUCGAAGAGAAAACACGUGUUUUCCACAUAAAUGGGGGAUUUGCGAAGAGAAAACGCGUGUUUUUCGCAUAAAUGGGGGAUUUGCAAAUUGAAAAUGCGUGAUUUUCAAGUUAAAUGGGGGAUUUGCAAAGAGAAAACGCGUGAUUUUCGGGUUAAAUGGAAGAUUCCUGAAGAGAAAACGCGUGAUUUUUGCUUUAAUGGCGGAUUUGUGAAGAGAAAACGUGUGUUUUUCGCUUAAAUGGGGGAUAUGCAAAUUGAAAAUGUGCGAUUUUCGGGUUAAAUGGGGGAUUUUCGAAGAGAAAACACGUGUUUUCCACAUAAAUGGGGGAUUUGCGAAGAGAAAACACGUGAUUUUCGCAUAAAUGGGGGAUUUGAGAAGAGAAAAUGCGUGUUUUUCGCUUAAAUGGGGGAUUUGCGAAGAGAAAACGCGUGAUUUUCACUUAAAUGGAAGAUUUCUGAAGAGAAAACGCGUGAUUUUUGCUUAAAUGGCGGAUUUGUGAAGAGAAAACGCGUGUUUUUCGCUUAAAUGUGGGAUUUCUGAAGAGAAAACGCGUGAUUUUCGGCUUAAAUGGGGGAUUUGCGAAGAGAAAACGCGUGAUUUU